GUUCCAGUUUUUGUUUUGUGGAUCAUUCAGGAUAAUUAACUUCCCUGCUAUCCCGGGUAAUCGAGUGUAUAUUGUAACUAACUACGAUAGUUAGUUAUGAUAUAGAGCAGCUGUUCUCAACCUGUACCACUGGUGGUACGUACACUACCUGUGGUAUAUAUAUAAUCUUGACUUCCCAUUCGUAUAAGAAACAUAUUUUUUAUUGGUGGUACUGAAAUUUUUCAAUUUUGAAUUUUGGUGGUACGCUGUAUGAAAAGGCUGAGAACAGCUGCAAUAGAACAUUUGAAUAUAUAUAUAUGCAUGCAUGCAAUUUAUUUAUUUAUUUUUUCUGUAUUAAAUGUGCACAUCUUCCACAAUUUCAAUUUUUGACUGUUUUGUGGGAUCAUCCGAGAUAAUUAACUUCCCUACUAUCCCGGGCAAUCGAAUGUAUGUUGUAACUGACUUCGAUAGUUAGUUAUGAUACUGGAUCAACCAUCUAAAUAUAUAAAUAGAUUGUUCAAUGCUAGCAACGAUUGAAACUAUCCCGCUACAUUGGUUUACCCUUUCAGCAACUUAAAAAAUCGACGAUAUAUCAAAUUGAUUUUGUUUUGGUGACCACACGUAUCCCAUUUAUGUUAGUAAACACGAUCGAUCAGAUUUAAAUAAUUAAUAAAAACGGUGUAGUACCCUAAUUUACACUAUUAUACCACGUAACCUCAUCAUUUCAGUGGCUAGUAUUGAGCAGUCUAUGUAUGUAUUUAGAUCGUUGCAUUGGAUGUAGAGGAAGAAGUAUGUUCACUGUAGAUAAAUUAAUGUUAAGGCACGAAAUUGGGCAAGACCACAUCAUAACCGAGGAAACUAACAAUGAAUUUAGGAUUACAACCAGACUAAGUGACAAAAGCUUCGUCCAAAUUGCGUAGAGUCGCUAUUCAAGUAAUGGCAAUAAUAGGUUAAUCCCAACUGUAUUUCCUGGUUUUUCAAUUGUAAUAUAAAAUCUAUUAUUAUGAAUGCCUCAAUUUGCAUAACUUUUUGAAACCUGCAUUGGACGCAUAUCUGCUGCUGCUGCUGCUGCUGCUGCAAUCGAUGACGUAUCCGGCAUUCUGGACCGUUAUCUAUAUAGAGGAGGGUGUGAGGGAUCCGCCUCUAGACAUUUUUGUUUAAAAUGAUCUCACAAUCUGUUCCUUCAUUAUGAUGGUUUACUCUCGGGACAUUCUAUAUUUCGAAUAUUCGUUCUAGCGCUAUAUCAUACGAUGGAGCUAUGAUAGCGAAGAAACAGACUUAGCAUAAAAUUGUCUUUUUUUAUUUGCUUCUUUUCGGAGAUGAAAAUGAAUUGAAAAAUAAAUUCUAACUAGAAAAUAAAAGAGACAAACAAUCAAUCGUAAUUCUCGCCGUACUUUUCGAACCAGUUUAAAAGGUUUGCUCAUUAUUUAUGUAUCAUCAUAAAAGAAUAUAGGUCUUUCACCACAGUUUAUGAAUUAUUUAACUUGUAAAGGACUGCGGGUCUGUAGAAUUACGUGAGCUAACUACCGAUGGCUGCAUCACUUCAUUUUCGAAAAAAAAAUAAAAAUAAAAAUAAUUGAAAAGUGAUUAAAAAGCAAAUAUAGACCGAAUGAUAUUGAUAAAUAUUGACAGCAGUGGUUCGGAUAAAUGGGACAGAAACGUACGAACCACGCUGCUGCUGCUGCAGAUGAAGAAACGGAGAAAAGGAUCCUCCCAUAAACCAUCACGAUCUGAAAACGCAAUAAUUGUUUCCAUGGCAACGAGUAAAGGUAAUAGUCGGUUCCUUAUUUUCAAGAUAAUUUUAGUCCAAUUUACGGGCGAGCUUUUCGGCGCCCGAUUGAGAAAGGACCUUUUUCUAGUAGCAUCUUCGCUUUUUUUUUUUUUUUUUUUUUUAUAUGUUUUAAAA
rnacentral:lncRNA from 1 species